UAGCGAACAGGAUUAGAUACCCUGGUAGUCCAUGCCGUAAACGAUGAUUACUAAGUGUUGGAGGGUUUCCGCCCUCAGUGCUGCAGCUAACGCAUUAAGUAAUCCGCCUGGGGAGUACGACCGCAAGGUUGAAACUCAAAAGAAUUGACGGGGGCCCGCACAAGCGGUGGAGCAUGUGGUUUAAUUCGAAGCUACGCGAAGAACCUUACCAGGUCUUGACAUCUUCUGACAGUCUAAGAGAUUAGAGGUUCCCUUCGGGGACAGAAUGACAGGUGGUGCAUGGUUGUCGUCAGCUCGUGUCGUGAGAUGUUGGGUUAAGUCCCGCAACGAGCGCAACCCUUAUUACUAGUUGCCAGCAUUAAGUUGGGCACUCUAGUGAGACUGCCGGUGACAAACCGGAGGAAGGUGGGGACGACGUCAAAUCAUCAUGCCCCUUAUGACCUGGGCUACACACGUGCUACAAUGGAUGGUACAACGAGUCGCGAGACCGCGAGGUUAAGCUAAUCUCUUAAAACCAUUCUCAGUUCGGACUGUAGGCUGCAACUC
rnacentral:rRNA from 1 species